rnacentral:rRNA from 1 species
GGAUUGCAGCCUGCAACUCGGCUGCAUGAAGCUGGAAUCGCUAGUAAUCGCGGAUCAGAAUGCCGCGGUGAAUACGUUCCCGGGUCUUGUACACACCGCCCGUCACACCAUGGGAGCCGGAAACGCCCGAAGCCAGCGGCCCAACCGCAAGGGGGGAGCUGUCGAAGGCGGGUCCGGUGACCGGGGUGAAGUCGUAACAAGGUAUC